GACGAACGCUGGCGGCGUGCUUAACACAUGCAAGUCGAACGGAAAGGCCCUGCUUUUGUGGGGUGCUCGAGUGGCGAACGGGUGAGUAACACGUGAGUAACCUGCCCUUGACUUUGGGAUAACUUCAGGAAACUGGGGCUAAUACCGGAUAGGAGCUCCUGCGGCAUGGUGGGGGUUGGAAAGUUUCGGCGGUUGGGGAUGGACUCGCGGCUUAUUAGCUUGUUGGUGGGGUAGUGGCUUACCCAGGCUUUGACGGGUAGCCGGCCUGAGAGGGUGACCGGCCACAUUGGGACUGAGAUACGGCCCAGACUCCUACGGGAGGCAGCAGUGGGGAAUAUUGCACAAUGGGCGGAAGCCUGAUGCAGCAACGCCGCGUGCGGGAUGACGGCCUUCGGGUUGUAAACCGCUUUCGCCUGUGACGAAGCGUGAGUGACGGUAAUGGGUAAAGAAGCACCGGCUAACUACGUG
rnacentral:rRNA from 1 species